AUUGAACGCUGGCGGCAGGCCUAACACAUGCAAGUCGAGCGUGCGGCGGCCGGGUGAGUAAUGUUUGGGUACCUGCCUGAUGGAGGGGGAUAACUACUGGAAACGGUAGUUACUACCCCAUACCAUCAGAUGUGGCCCGAUGGGAUUAGCUGGUAGGUGGGGUAAGGGGUAACCUCGGCGACGAUACCUAGCUGGUCUGAGAGGAUGAUGAGCCACACUGGAACUGAGACACGGUCCAGACUCCUACGGGAGGCAGCAGUGGGGAAUAUUGCACAAUGGGCGCAAGCCUGAUGCAGCCAUGCCGCGUGUGUGAAGAAGGCCUUCGGGUUGUAAAGCACUUUCAGCGGGGAGGCGUUACCCGCAGAAGAAGCACCGGCUAACUCCGUGCCAGCAGCCGCGGUAAUUC
rnacentral:rRNA from 1 species